rnacentral:tRNA from 1 species
GGGUUAGCUCAGUGGAUAGAGCACCGAGCUCGAAACUCGGCUGUCACAGGUUCGACUCCUGUGCCAACUCG